rnacentral:tRNA from 1 species
UGAACCACGUCAUCUAUUUCCUCGACCUCUUCGACGCGCUCGACGCGCUCGGCGACCGCGCUCC